AGUGAACGCUGGCGGCGUGCCUAAUACAUGCAAGUCGAACGCGAAAGUCCUUCGGGAUGAGUAAAGUGGCGCACGGGUGAGUAAUAGAUGAGAACAUGCCCUGAGGUGGGGAAUAACAGUUGGAAACGACUGCUAAUACCGCAUGGUAUCGUAAGAUUAAAGGUGGCCUCUGCAUAUGCUACCGCCACAGGAUUGGCUCAUCUCCCAUUAGCUAGUUGGUAGGGUAACGGCCUACCAAGGCAACGAUGGGUAACUGGUCUGAGAGGAUGAUCAGUCACACUGGAACUGAGACACGGUCCAGACUCCUACGGGAGGCAGCAGUGGGGAAUAUUGCACAAUGGACGAAAGUCUGAUGUAGCAACGCCGCGUGAGUGAAGAAGGCCCUUGGGUUGUAAAGCUCUUUAGCCUGGAAAGAAGCCUAGUGAGGUGAAUAAUCUCAUUAGGUGACGGUACCAGGAGAAUAAGCACCGGCUAAUUUCGUGCCAGCCGCCGCAGUAA
rnacentral:rRNA from 1 species